GUCCGUAUAGUUUAACCAAAACACUAGACUGUGAACCUAGAAAUAGAAAAAUUUCUUACGAACC
rnacentral:tRNA from 1 species